UGGGGAAUUUUGGACAAUGGGCGAAAGCCUGAUCCAGCAAUGCCGCGUGUGUGAAGAAGGCCUUCGGGUUGUAAAGCACUUUUGUCCGGAAAGAAAUCCUUGGCUCUAAUACAGUCGGGGGAUGACGGUACCGGAAGAAUAAGCACCGGCUAACUACGUGCCAGCAGCCGCGGUAAUACGUAGGGUGCAAGCGUUAAUCGGAAUUACUAGGCGUAAAGCGUGCGCAGGCGGUUUGCUAAGACCGAUGUGAAAUCCCCGGGCUCAACCUGGGAACUGCAUUGGUGACUGGCAGGCUAGAGUAUGGCAGAGGGGGGUAGAAUUCCACGUGUAGCAGUGAAAUGCGUAGAGAUGUGGAGGAAUACCGAUGGCGAAGGCAGCCCCCUGGGCCAAUACUGACGCUCAUGCACGAAAGCGUGGGGAGCAAACAGGAUUAGAUACCCUGGUAGUCCACGCCCUAAACGAUGUCAACUAGUUGUUGGGGAUUCAUUUCCUUAGUAACGUAGCUAACGCGUGAAGUUGACCGCCUGGGGAGUACGGUCGCAAGAUUAAAACUCAAAGGAAUUGACGGGGUCAUAGCUGUUUCCU
rnacentral:rRNA from 1 species